AACGAACGCUGGCGGCAUGCCUAACACAUGCAAGUCGAACGAGAUCUUCGGAUCUAGUGGCGCACGGGUGCGUAACGCGUGGGAAUCUGCCCCUUGCUUCGGAAUAACAGUGAGAAAUUACUGCUAAUACCGGAUGAUGUCUUCGGACCAAAGAUUUAUCGGCAAGGGAUGAGCCCGCGUAGGAUUAGGUAGUUGGUGGGGUAAUGGCCUACCAAGCCGACGAUCCUUAGCUGGUCUGAGAGGAUGAUCAGCCACACUGGGACUGAGACACGGCCCAGACUCCUACGGGAAGCAGCAGUGGGGAAUAUUGGACAAUGGGCGAAAGCCUGAUCCAGCAAUGCCGCGUGAGUGAUGAAGGCCUUAGGGUUGUAAAGCUCUUUUACCAGGGAUGAUAAUGACAGUACCUGGAGAAUAAGCUCCGGCUAACUCCGUG
rnacentral:rRNA from 1 species